rnacentral:rRNA from 1 species
UGCAAGUCGAACGGUAACAGGAAGCAGCUUGCUGCUUUGCUGACGAGUGGCGGACGGGUGAGUAAUGUCUGGGAAACUGCCUGAUGGAGGGGGAUAACUACUGGAAACGGUAGCUAAUACCGCAUAACGUCGCAAGACCAAAGAGGGGGACCUUAGGGCCUCUUGCCAUCGGAUGUGCCCAGAUGGGAUUAGCUAGUAGGUGGGGUAAAGGCUCACCUAGGCGACGAUCCCUAGCUGGUCUGAGAGGAUGACCAGCCACACUGGAACUGAGACACGGUCCAG